rnacentral:rRNA from 1 species
AUACGGAGGAUCCGAGCGUUAUCCGGAUUUAUUGGGUUUAAAGGGUGCGCAGGCGGCCAUUUAAGUCAGCGGUUAAAUCGUGGGGCUCAACCCCAUUCUGCCGUUGAUACUGGGUGGCUUGAUUGCGGUCGAGGUUGGCGGAAUUCGUUGUGUAGCGGUGAAAUGCAUAGAUAUGACGAAGAACACCGAUUGCGUAGGCAGCUGACCAGACCGCAAAUGACGCUCAUGCACGAAAGUGCGGGGAUCGAACAGGAUUAGAUACCCUGGUAGUCCGCACAGUAAACGAUGAAUACUUGUUUUCGGCGAUAUAAUGUCGGAGGCAAAGCGAAAGCGAUAAGUAUUCCACCUGGGGAGUACGGCCGCAAGGUUGAAACUCAAAUGAAUUGACGGGG